GCCCCGGUGGCGUAAUCGGUAGCCGCAUCGGGCUUAAAACCCGCUGGCCUUCACUGGUCGUGCCGGUUCAAGUCCGGCCCGGGGCACCA
rnacentral:tRNA from 1 species